UCAUAACAGUUUUCACUGAGCACAAUUUCUCAAUGAAGCUAAUAAUGGGGUGGAUAUUAAAUCUUUAAAAAAUUUUGAAAUUAUCAAAAUAUUUUAAUGACGACAACAUUAUUUUAAUUCAUCGUCAAUUUAUAGUUCCUCGGUAUCACUUUCCAUCCUGUUAGUCUUUCAUAAAAUCACAAAUUCUAUUUCCUCGACGACAUCACCCGACAGGAAGUGACAUCAUUUUGGAGGGAACUCAGCAGCACAAACAUCAUCAUGCACUGAACUAAAUUAAUCGAGCACAGUCAGGGAGGAAUCGGUGAACACUGCGAUGCUGGCGUGACGGGCAUCUUCGGGGGUCAGAGGUCACUGAACGCGA